rnacentral:rRNA from 4 species
AGUGGGGAAUAUUGGACAAUGGGCGCAAGCCUGAUCCAGCAAUGCCGCGUGUGUGAAGAAGGCCUUCGGGUUGUAAAGCACUUUUAUCAGGAGCGAAAUGCCAUUGGUUAAUACCCGGUGGAGCUGACGGUACCUGAGGAAUAAGCACCGGCUAACUUCGUGCCAGCAGCCGCGGUAAUACGAAGGGUGCAAGCGUUAAUCGGAAUUACUGGGCGUAAAGCGUGCGUAGGCGGUGAUUUAAGUCUGCUGUGAAAUCCCCGGGCUCAACCUGGGAAUGGCAGUGGAUACUGGAUCGCUAGAGUGUGAUAGAGGAUGGUGGAAUUCCCGGUGUAGCGGUGAAAUGCGUAGAGAUCGGGAGGAACAUCAGUGGCGAAGGCGGCCAUCUGGAUCAACACUGACGCUGAGGCACGAAAGCGUGGGGAGCAAACAGGAUUAGAUACCCUGGUAGUCCACGCCCUAAACGAUGCGAACUGGAUGUUGGUCUCAACUCGGAGAUCAGUGUCGAAGCUAACGCGUUAAGUUCGCCGCCUGGGGAGUACGGUCGCAAGACUGAAACUCAAAG